rnacentral:tRNA from 1 species
AUAAAUAUAGCUUAAUUAAAGCUUUGAUUUUGUAAAUCAAAAAUGGUACAUCCUAUUUAUG